GCUGGGGUCGGCAGAGAGCGAGCGAGGUCCGUGCGUGGAUUUGGGGUCCGGGAUCAGGCGGUGGUCACUCUGUGUCUCAGGGAACACUGAGAGCAGGAACGGAAGAUAACAGCCCAGGGUGAGGCUGACUCUGACCACCACCACUGGACAGAUACGUUCGGAUCCGGUUCCCACGGCCAUCAUGGCUGCCGGAGUGUGGCUGCUGCUGUCGGUUACUAUGUUCGAGGCGAUGUCAGAACGGGGAGUCCAUAUGGAGGCCCCACCUCUGACACCGCCCAUCAGGAACCUAAGCAUCGACCCCGCCCAGCGCAGGCUGACGUGGGAGUGGGGCGGGGGCGGGACCAGGGCAGAGGGCGGGGCCUUGGGUCCCAGGUUCCUGUGCAGAAAGGAGGGGCGGGACCCUGUGCGGGCGGACCCUGCAGGUCAUUCCUGCUCCUUCCCUGCCCUUUCCCACUGUCACGUAACCAACUUCACUGUCUUCCCCGAGGGGCAAGAGAAGGAUGCGGCCCACCUGUGCUUCCAGCCCCGUGACCCCAACAGGGCGGCUGCCGCCCGCAACCUGCACUGCUGGGUGCACGACGUGGAUUGGCUGAGUUGCCGCUGGGGUCGGGGCCCUGGGGCAACACGGGAUGUGCGAUACAGAAUG
rnacentral:lncRNA from 1 species